GCAUGCAUGGUGUGUGGUGUGAGUGUGGUCCUGCACGGUGUGGGGUCCCGUGAGUGAGGGCGUGCACGGUGUGGGGUCCUGUGAGUGCGGGUGUGCACGGUGUGGGGUCGUAAGUUCAGGCGUGCACGGUAUGGGGUUGUGUGAGUGCAUGGCGUGGGGUCUUGUGAGUGCGGGCGUGCACGGUGUGGGGUCUUGAGUUCAGGCGUGCACGGUAUGGGGUCGUGUGAGUGCAUGGUGUGGGGUCGUCAGUGCGGGCAUGCACGUUGUGGGGUCGUGUGGGUGUGCACGGUGUGGGGUCGUGAGUGCGGGCGUGCGUGGUGCGGGGUCAUGUGAGUGCACGGUGUGGGGUCGUGUGAGUGUGGGCACGUGUGAUGUGGGGUCAUGUGAGUGCGGAUGUGCACAGUGUGGGAUCGUGUGAGUGCACAGUGGGUUGUGUGGACGUGCACGGUGUGGCGUCGUGAGUUCAGGCAUGCAGGGUGUGGGGUCGUGUGAAUGCGGGCCUGCACGGUGUGGGGUGAGUGUGGGCACACGUGAUGUGUCAUGUGACUGCGGAUGUGCACAGUGUGAGGUCGUGUGAAUGCGGGCGUGCAUGGUGUGCAGUCGUGAGUUCCGGCGUGCACGAUGUGGGGUCUUGUGAGUGCGGGCGUGCAUGGUGUGGGAUCGUGUGAGUGAAGAUAUGUGUGGUGUGGGGUGGACGGGUUAGCUUUCAGAUUGAAUGGAAGCAGGAACAAGUGGAAAGCUGUUGAAAUUUUCCAGGCGAGAGAUAAAGAUAAAAACUAAGACACUGGCUGCUACAGUGGAGAAGAUUCAGUGAUACAUAAAAUGGUACAGUCCUUCUGAGGAAGGGCACGUGAGGUGUUCGUUGUGAUACGUACAAUGGUACAGUCCUUCUGAGGAAGGGCACGUGAGGUGUUCGUUGUGAUACGUACAAUGGUACAGUCCUUCUGAGGAAGGGCACGUGAGGUGUUCGUUGUGAUACGUACAAUGGUACAGUCCUUCUGAGGAAGGGCAUGUGAGGUGUUCGUUGUGAUACGUACAAUGGUACAGUCCUUCUGAGGAAGGGCACGUGAGGUGUUCGUUGUGAUACGUACAAUGGUACAGUCCUUCUGAGGAAGGGCAUGUGAGGUGUUCGUUGUGAUACGUACAAUGGUACAGUCCUUCUGAGGAAGGGCAUGUGAGGUGUUCGUUGUGAUACGUACAAUGGUACAGUCCUUCUGAGGAAGGGCAUGUGAGGUGUUCGUUGUGAUACGUACAAUGGUACAGUCCUUCUGAGGAAGGGCAUGUGAGGUGUUCGUUGUGAUACGUACAAUGGUACAGUCCUUCUGAGGAAGGGCAUGUGAGGUGUUCGUUGUGAUACGUACAAUGGUACAGUCCUUCUGAGGAAGGGCAUGUGAGGUGUUCGUUGUGAGACGUACAAUGGUACAGUCCUUCUGAGGAAGGGCAUGUGAGGUGUUCGUUGUGAGACGUACAAUGGUACAGUCCUUCUGAGGAAGGGCAUGUGAGGUGUUCGUUGUGAGACGUACAAUGGUACAGUCCUUCUGAGGAAGGGCAUGUGAGGUGUUCGUUGUCUGUGGUAGACCUGGGUCUGUGGGAGGCUCAGGAUUCUGGUCCGGACUGGAGUAGAACCUGGGGAGCUAUUGGCUGGCCUCUGUUAUUUAAAGCCACAGAAUGGAUGUAAAACCAAGGACUAGCAGUCAUACUGAGACGGUGAAAUGGUGGAAAUUGGAACCUUAGGGAGCAGCACUGGGCUGGAUGGAAGAGGAAGAGCCUGCAAGAGAAAAGAGCUGCGGAGGUCAGAGGGAGCGGCUGUGCCUUGGGCCAGGGGAGCAGUGAGCCACGUUCCUUAUCCCAAGCAGACUCCUUGGAGAUCUGGAGAGGCCGGAGCUGAGGGCCGGGACCCCGAGGGCCUCGGAAGGAGUUGUUUCAGCCUCUUGGGGCAACAGCCAGAUCCCAGUGGCUCUGGAAGUAAUCUGUCUAGAUGUGAGAUGAUGAAGGAAGGAAGGAUGGCUGUACUUGAGGAGGGAGCCGGGUCACAGAUGGGGCAAGAGGCACGAUCGUGGUGUUGAGUGAAGAGAAAGGACUGAAGACAAAGGAAGUGCCGGAGCCUGUCCUGGAGAAAGGAGAAGGGACCUCUUGUCUGUGGAGUCAGAAAAGCAGGAAAGGUUGAAGGGAGAAGGUGCUACUUACUCACUACCAGGGGCCUGGGACACAAGCCUGUUUGAGGGUUUCUGAAGAACAGUGGAGAUGCUGAGAUUCUGUGCAGGCCUUUCUGACUUUGGUAAUAAACGUUGUGCACAACACAAGAGCUCUCCCUAUAGUGCAGACUGUUAUUAUUUGGAGAAGUUGAGUACUGGAGGGGAAAAGUGAUGCUGAUUUUCAGUUUAAUGUAAUUUUCCCUUUGAGAAAUGUUGCCUGCAUGAAAUCGUGAGCUUUAAUUGUCAAAUGUUCUUUCUCCUUGGUGUGCUUUGGAGUUUUUGUUUUUCCUGAAAAAUGUUUGGAUUUGCAUUUCCCUACUUUAAUAAAAAUGGAGCAAAUGUU